UACAGAGGGUGCGAGCGUUAAUCGGAAUUACUGGGCGUAAAGCGCACGUAGUCGGCUUUGCAAGUCGGGUGUGAAAUCCCCGGGCUCAACCUGGGAACUGCAUCCGAGACUGCAUUGCUAGAGUAUGGGAGAGGGAAGCGGAAUUUCUGGUGUAGCAGUGAAAUGCGUAGAUAUCAGAAGGAACAUCAGUGGCGAAGGCGGCUUCCUGGACCAAUACUGACGAUCAGGUGCGAAAGCCGUGGGGAGCAAACAGG
rnacentral:rRNA from 1 species